UACGAGGGGGGCGAGCGUUGUUCGGAAUCACUGGGCGUAAAGCGCACGUAGGCGGCUUUUUAAGUCGGAGGUGAAAUCCUGGAGCUCAACUCCAGAACUGCCCUUGAUACUGAGAAGCUUGAGUCCGGGAGAGGUGAGUGGAACUGCGAGUGUAGAGGUGAAAUUCGUAGAUAUUCGCAAGAACACCAGUGGCGAAGGCGGCUCACUGGCCCGGUACUGACGCUGAGGUGCGAAAGCGUGGGGAGCAAACAGG
rnacentral:rRNA from 1 species